rnacentral:rRNA from 1 species
CACGUAGGGCGCAAGCGUUGUCCGGAAUUAUUGGGCGUAAAGAGCUCGUAGGCGGUCUGCCACGUCCGCUGUGAAAACCUAGGGCUUAACCCUGGGCUUGCAGUAGAUACGGGCAGACUAGAGGUAGGUAGGGGAGAAUGGAAUUCCCGGUGUAGCGGUGAAAUGCGCAGAUAUCGGGAGGAACACCGGUGGCGAAGGCGGUUCUCUGGGCCUUACCUGACGCUGAGGAGCGAAAGCGUGGGGAGCGAACAGG